UACGAAGGGGGCUAGCGUUGUUCGGAUUUACUGGGCGUAAAGCGCGUGUAGGCGGACUUGUAAGUUGGGGGUGAAAUCCCGAGGCUCAACCUCGGAACUGCCUCCAAAACUACAAGUCUGGAGCAAGAUAGAGGCAAGUGGAAUUGCGAGUGUAGAGGUGAAAUUCGUAGAUAUUCGCAGGAACACCAGUGGCGAAGGCGGUUCUCUGGGCAUGUCCUGACGCUGAGGAGCGAAAGUGUGGGGAGCGAACAGG
rnacentral:rRNA from 1 species